UACAGAGGGGGCAAGCGUUAUUCGGAAUUAUUGGGCGUAAAGGGCGCGUAGGCGGCCUGGCAAGUGACGGGUGAAAGCCCUCGGCUCAACCGAGGAACUGCCUGUCAUACUGCCGGGCUUGAGUCCGGGAGAGGUGAGUGGAAUUCCCAGUGUAGCGGUGAAAUGCGUAGAUAUCAGGAGGAACACCAAUUGCGAAGGCAGCUCGCUGGAACGUCACUGACGCUGAGGUGCGAAAGCGUGGGGAGCAAACAGG
rnacentral:rRNA from 1 species